rnacentral:rRNA from 1 species
UACGUAGGCUGCAAGCGUUAUCCGGAAUUAUUGGGCGUAAAGCGUACGCAGGCGGUCUGUUAAGUUGGAUGUCAAAGCUAUGAGCUCAACUCAUAACAGGUAUCCAAUACUGGCAGGCUGGAGAUAGGCAGAGGUAAGUGGAAUUCUGUAUGUAGGGGUAAUAUCCGUAGAUAUACAGAGGAACACCAAAAGCGAAGGCAGCUUACUGGGCCUUUUCUGACGCUCAUGUACGAAAGCGUGGGGAGCAAACGGG